UACGAAGGUCCCAAGCGUUAUCCGGAUUUAUUGGGCUUAAAGGGUGCGUAGGCGGGCUAUUAAGUCAGUGGUGAAAUCUCCGAGCCUAACUCGGAAAUUGCCAUUGAUACUGAUGGUCUUGAGUACAUUUGAAGUGGGCGGAAUGUGUCAUGUAGCGGUGAAAUGCUUAGAUAUGACACAGAACACCGAUUGCGUAGGCAGCUCACUAAACUGUAACUGACGCUGAGGCACGAAAGCGUGGGGAGCGAACAGG
rnacentral:rRNA from 1 species